CUGCAUUACAUUUUUUAGCAAAUUGAGUUAAUGUAACUCUUCUGUUUGAUCGGCCCAAAUGGGCUAGCCUUUGCUCCUCCCAUGCAUCAGUGAGGUAACUAACCACUGCAUACCAGAAACAUCCCACAAGACUUGCCAUUUUGGACAUGCUCCGACCCAGUCGUCUAGCCAUCACUAUUUGGCCCAUGUCCAAGUCACUCAGUUCCUUUCGCUUGCCCAUUUUUCCUGCUUCCAAC